ensembl:snRNA U6 U6 spliceosomal RNA
GUGCUCACUUCAGCAGCACAUACACUAAAAAACUGGAAUGAUACAGAGAAGAUCAGCAUGGCCCUGUGCAAGGAUGACAUGCAAAUUUGUGAAGCCUUCUAUAUUUUU